rnacentral:rRNA from 1 species
UACGGGGGGGGCAAGGCGUUGUUCGGAAUUACUGGGCGUAAAGCGUGCGCAGGCGGUGAUGUAAGACAGAUGUGAAAUCCCCGGGCUCAACCUGGGAACUGCAUUUGUGACUGCAUCGCUGGAGUGCGGCAGAGGGGGGAUGGAAUUCCGGCGUGUAGCAGUGAAAUGCGUAGAUAUGCGGAGGAACACCGAUGGCGAAGGCAAUCCCCUGGGCCUGCACUGACGCUCAUGCACGAAAGCGUGGGG